AUAGUAUGUGAGGAUGGCAUCAUUUCACNUUAAAAGUCACAACGGCAAAAGAUGAGCAUGCGUCCCAUUAGCUAGUUGGUAAGGUAACGGCUUACCAAGGCUACGAUGGGUAGGGGUCCUGAGAGGGAGAUCCCCCACACUGGUACUGAGACACGGACCAGACUCCUACGGGAGGCAGCAGUGAGGAAUAUUGGACAAUGGGCGCAAGCCUGAUCCAGCCAUGCCGCGUGCAGGAUGACGGUCCUAUGGAUUGUAAACUGCUUUUGUACAGGAAGAAACACUACUUCGUGAAGUAGCUUGACGGUACUGUAAGAAUAAGGAUCGGCUAACUCCGUG
rnacentral:rRNA from 1 species